AGGAGCAACAGAGGAAGGUACAUCAAGAAAAGUGAAUGCAAUACAGUACAGCGCGGAAUACCCUCUGCAUUCAACACACCUUCAGCCAUCCAACACUAGUGUGCCCCCAUGUGGUAGCCCUGAGAAAUGCAACAUUAUCUCUGCCUCUCCUAUUCUUCUAGAGAGGAAGCAGCUGUAGCCAAGAGGGGAGAGCCGGUGCUGCCAAAAACAGCAGAUCUAUACUUGGCGACCCGUCAAGCAACAGCUCUUUCUGAGAGAGCAUUGGAAUGAGUUCAACUAGCUCCCAAGCCUCUAUUAAUACCGCUAGUGUACACCAACAACUGUUUCAAAAGACAAAAGUUCUUUAUAAAGCACUUGGAUUCAUCCCGUGGUCUCACAAUAACCGACAUAAAGAGUGCUGCAAACCGUGGCAGUUCGUUUACUUACGUCCGUAUAGGAUUUCUCUGCAGCUUGUCUCCACCUACUACAAGGACAUACAGAUCUUGGAGACGGGUAAGGUGGUGGACUGUGUGACAGUGGAGCCCUACAUGCUGGGGGACUUUGUGAAUCUCACAAACAACACUACUAAAGUGGACAAGAGGUUCAAGGCCUCAGAAUACGGCAUAGACUUCAGAUAUCAGGAGACUGAAACUUGGCCGCAAGUGGAUCUUCCAGCAAGACAAUAACCUCAAGCACACAGCAAAAUCCACAAAGAAAUUGUUAAGUCUCCACACUUGAAACACAUUGAAAAAACAUGUGGUUCGAAUGGAACAGAGCU